ensembl:snoRNA Snord27 small nucleolar RNA, C/D box 27
ACUUGAUGAUGAAUGUAUUAUAAAUGACAAGCAUAUGGCUGAACUUAGGUGAUGUCAUCUUACUGCUGAAAAGU